UACGGGGGGGGCAAGCGUUGUUCGGAAUUACUGGGCGUAAAGGGCGCGUAGGCGGCCUGCUAAGUCACACGUGAAAUCCCUCGGCUCAACCGGGGAACUGCGUGUGAUACUGGCGGGCUUGAAUUCGGGAGAGGGAUGUGGAAUUCCAGGUGUAGCGGUGAAAUGCGUAGAGAUCUGGAGGAACACCGAUGGCGAAGGCAGCCUUCUGGGCCAACACUGACGCUCAUGCACGAAAGCGUGGGGAGCAAACAGG
rnacentral:rRNA from 1 species